rnacentral:rRNA from 1 species
CAAUAGCGUAUAUUAAAGUUGUUGCAGUUAAAAAGCUCGUAGUUGGAUUUGUGGUGUACUUCGGCGGCCCGUCACUAUGUGAUGGAGCUUGCUGAAGUCGCCAUCCUUGGGUGGAUCCUGUGUGGCAUUAAGUUGUCGUGCAGGGGAUGCCCAUCGUUUACUGUGAAAAAAUUAGAGUGUUCAAAGCAGGCUUAUGCCGUUGAAUAUAUUAGCAUGGAAUAAUAAGAUAGGACCUUGGUACUAUUUUGUUGGUUUGCGCACCAAGGUAAUGAUUAAUAGGGACAGUUGGGGGUAUUCGUAUUUCAUUGUCAGAGGUGAAAUUCUUGGAUUUUUGAAAGACGAACUACUGCGAAANGANNNACCAAGGAUGUUUNCAUNAA